AAUCAUAGCCUACAUCACAUAAAAAACUACCUCUGUCCCUACACGCCGCUCGCUCCCGCUCGCAGACGCAGGAGGACUCACAGGUCCUCCCAUGUCCACCGACGUAGGAGAGUUGUCCGACGCAGACGCUAGGCAACGCCAAUAAACAUGUAGCACAGGGCCGAACAACUGUA